UACGUAGGUGACAAGCGUUGUCCGGAUUUACUGGGCGUAAAGAGCUCGCAGGCGGUCGAUCAAGUCGAGUGUGAAAGCCCCCGGCUCAACUGGGGAGGGUCAUUCGAUACUGAUCGACUCGAAGGCAGGAGAGGGUAGUGGAAUUCCCGGUGUAGAGGUGAAAUUCGUAGAUAUUCGCAAGAACACCAGUGGCGAAGGCGGCUCACUGGCCCGAUACUGACGCUGAGGCACGAAAGCGUGGGGAGCAAGCAGG
rnacentral:rRNA from 1 species